GCCUCUUCCUCCCCCGACCGCCGCCGGGCCGAGUCCUCUGGCGCCGCCGCUCCGCUUCCUCGCCGUCACCCUCCAAAACGGCCACGGCAGAAGCCCCACCUAUCAUCUCGACAGCCGGAUUAGUUAGUCCGGCGGCCGGACCUCCACUCCCCCUUUUCCCACCUCCAGAAACACUCCGGAUUAGUGAGCGAUUCGACUUGGUAUCUUAAAUGGAGUCGUUGCCGAUUUCCCGUUGAUGAAGAAUGAUUGUUUUCUUCUCCGCUAAUCUUCUCAAUCGGUGAGAGAUAGUGACUUCUUGUUAACUCCAUCGAUACAGUUCAUGGUUCUCUGACUCCGUCAUGUCCAUGCGUCGAAAGAUGGCCUUGGGUUGGGUGCACUGCAACCGCCAGCAAACAAGAAGAAGUUGAUGCAUGUUCUUCUCCUCUAAUUCUUCUCAGUCGGCGAGACAUGAUGCUUCAAAAUGAACAAGUCGCCGUCUUGACGGAGAAGUUAGCUCGAAUCUAGAGCAAAAGCGCUGAUAACGUGUUAAAAGUAGAAGUACUUAAAUGUAAAUGAGAGACAUAAAGUGAGAGAGGAAUAAAAUUCUUAUAUUGAUCUCAA